rnacentral:rRNA from 1 species
UACGUAGGGUGCGAGCGUUAAUCGGAAUUACUGGGCGUAAAGCGUGCGCAGGCGGUCUGUUAAGACCGAUGUGAAAUCCCCGGGCUUAACCUGGGAACUGCAUUGGUGACUGGCAGGCUUUGAGUGUGGCAGAGGGAGGUAGGAAUUCCACGUGUAGCAGUGAAAUGCGUAGAGAUGUGGAGGAAUACCGAUGGCGAAGGCAGCCUCCUGGGCCAACACUGACGCUCAUGCACGAAAGCGUGGGAGCAA